UACGGAGGGUGCAAGCGUUAUCCGGAUUCACUGGGUUUAAAGGGGGCGUAGGUGGGCAGGUAAGUCAGUGGUGAAAUCUCCGGGCUUAACCCGGAAACUGCCAUUGAUACUAUCAGUCUUGAAUACCGUGGAGGUAAGCGGAAUAUGUCAUGUAGCGGUGAAAUGCUUAGAUAUGACAUAGAACACCAAUUGCGAAGGCAGCUUACUACCCGAAUAUUGACACUGAGGCACGAAAGCGUGGGGAUCAAACAGG
rnacentral:rRNA from 1 species